ACGAAGUAAACUAUGACACCCAUGUUCGCCAGAAAAUUACGAGCAAUUUACACCCAGCCUAAAACUCAAAAGACUUGACGGUGUCCCAACCUACCUAGAGGAGCCUGUUCCAUAAUCGAUACUCCACGAUCAACCCUACCACCCCUAGAACCAAAACUCAGCCUAUAUACCGCCGUCACCAGCUUACCUUUAAAAGCCACAAAGUGAGCACAAUAGUAUAUUACUAAUACGACAGGUCAAGGUGUAGCCUAUGGGGUGGCGUCAAUGGGCUACAUUAUCUGCCACAGAUUAUUCACGAACUAUUUUCUGAUAUAAAAAUACAAAGGCGGAUUUAGCAGUAAAUUAAUGAAGAAUACUUAAUUUAACACAUGCUCUGGGACAUGUACAC
rnacentral:rRNA from 1 species